rnacentral:rRNA from 1 species
UACGUAGGGUGCAAGCGUUAAUCGGAAUUACUGGGCGUAAAGCGUGCGCAGGCGGUUUUGUAAGUCUGUCGUGAAAUCCCCGGGCUUAACCUGGGAAUGGCAUUUGGGACUGCAAGGCUUGAGUUUGGCAGAGGAGACUGGAAUUCCUGGUGUAGCAGUGAAAUGCGUAGAUAUCAGGAGGAAUACCGAUGGCGAAGGCAGGUCUCUGGGCUAGAACUGACGCUCAUGCACGAAAGCGUGGGGAGCAAACAGG